rnacentral:rRNA from 1 species
GUAGGUGAUGGACAACAGGUUGAUAUUCCUGUACUACCGAUAACCGUUUGAGAGAAGGGAUGACACAGUAGGAUAAGCUAAGCACACUGUUGGUUAUGUGUGCCCAAGCAUUGAGGCAGUCAAAGUAGGCAAAUCCGCUUUGAUAAUGCUGGGAUGUGAUGGGGAGCGAAAUUUAGUAGCGAAGUAGCUGAUUUCACACUGUCAAGAAAAGUCUCUAUCGAGGUUAAAGGUACCCGUACCGCAAACCGACACAGGUGGGUGAGGAGAGUAUCCUAAGGCCAGCGAGAGAACUGUUGUUAAGGAACUCGGCAAAAUGACCCCGUAACUUAGGGAUAAGGGGUGCCACCAUCAGGUGGCCGCAGAGAAUAGGCCCAAGCGACUGUUUACCAAAAACAUAGGUUUCUGCUAAGUCGCAAGACGAUGUAUAGGAGCUGACGCCUGCCCGGUGCUGGAAGGUUAAGGGGAUCUGUUAGAGCAAUCGAAGCAGUGAACUUAAGCCCCAGUAAACGGCGGCCGUAACUAUAACGGUCCUAAGGUAGCGAAAUUCCUUGUCGGGUAAGUUCCGACCCGCACGAAAGGCGUAACGAUUUGGGCACUGUCUCAACAACAGACUCGGUGAAAUUGUAAUUCCGGUGAAGAUGCCGGAUACCUGCGACAGGACGGAAAGACCCCAUGGAGCUUUACUGUAGCUUGACAUUGGGUCUUGGUACUACAUGUACAGGAUAGGUGGGAGGCUUUGAAACCAGGACGCCAGUUUUGGCGGAGCCAUCCUUGGGAUACCACCCUUGUAGUACUGGGACUCUAACCAUAGGCCAUGAAUCUGGUCUUGGGACACUGUCAGGUGGGCAGUUUGACUGGGGCGGUCGCCUCCCAAAAGGUAACGGAGGCGCUCAAAGGUUCUCUCAGUACGGUCGGAAAUCGUACGUAGAGUGUAAAGGCAAAAGAGAGCUUGAUUGCAAGACAUACAGGUCGAGCAAGGAUGAAAAUCGGACUUAGUGAUCCGGUGGUUCUGCGUGGAAGGGCCAUCGCUCAACGGAUAAAAGCUACCCUGGGGAUAACAGGCUUAUCUCCCCCAAGAGUCCACAUCGACGGGGAGGUUUGGCACCUCGAUGUCGGCUCAUCACAUCCUGGGGCUGUAGUAGGUCCCAAGGGUUGGGCUGUUCGCCCAUUAAAGUGGUACGCGAGCUGGGUUCAGAACGUCGUGAGACAGUUCGGUCCCUAUCCGUCGCAGGCGUAGGAAAUUUGAGAAGACCUGUCCUUAGUACGAGAGGACCGGGAUGGACGUACCUCUGGUGUACCAGUUGUCCUGCCAAGGGCAUGGCUGGGUAGCUAUGUACGGAAUGGAUAAGCGCUGAAAGCAUCUAAGCGCGAAGCCAACUUCAAGAUAAGAUUUCCCACCGCAAGGGUAAGACCCCAGAAAGACUAUCUGGUUGAUAGGUCGAAGGUGUAAGUGCAGCAAUGUAUUUAGCUUAUCGAUACUAAUAGGUCGAGGACUUGACCAA